AGACCCCACGCGGGAGAGACCGUCGCCGAGCGUGCUCGGGGGCGGCGCCGAAGGAGCAACUCCUCCCCGGAACCUCUCAGGCAGCCAGGACCGCGUGGGCGAG
rnacentral:ncRNA from 1 species